AUUGAACGCUGGCGGCAUGCCUUACACAUGCAAGUCGAACGGCAGCGGACCUUCGGGUGCCGGCGAGAGGCGAACGGGUGAGUAAUGCAUCGGAACGUACCUUUCAGUGGGGGAUAACGUAGCGAAAGUUACGCUAAUACCGCAUAUUCUGUGAGCAGGAAAGCAGGGGAUCGCAAGACCUUGCGCUGAUUGAGCGGCCGAUGUCAGAUUAGCUAGUUGGUGAGGUAAAGGCUCACCAAGGCGACGAUCUGUAGCGGGUCUGAGAGGAUGAUCCGCCACACUGGAACUGAGACACGGUCCAGACUCCUACGGGAGGCAGCAGUGGGGAAUUUUGGACAAUGGGGGCAACCCUGAUCCAGCCAUGCCGCGUGAGUGAAGAAGGCCUUCGGGUUGUAAAGCUCUUUCGGCCGGGAAGAAAUCGCACGGGCUAAUACCCUGUGUGGAUGACGGUACCGGAAUAAGAAGCACCGGCUAACUACGUGCCAGCAGCCGCCGUAA
rnacentral:rRNA from 1 species